ensembl:lncRNA
GCGUGGCCCCCUUCUCCCCCCGCGUGGCCUCUUUCUCCCUCCGCGUGAGCCCGUCUCUCUCCAGGCCUUGUCUUGCCUGAGCUGGGUUACCAUGUGGUUACCCGGGUGCUCGCUGCUGAGCGGAGCAAGCUGCAGCCCAGCCUGGAUCCGAGGGGAGACCACGGGCCUCAGCGCUUGGCGGGAGCCUGGGCCGAGUGCACCAGGAGCGGCGGGGAGCAAACCCAGGACUCCCAACACCCGUGGCAACGACGCGAGUGUGUCCCUGCCGUUGCUGGAGUGUCACCAGUCAAAUGUCCGGACCCGACACCACCGCGGAGCAUCUGCCUCUGGGUUCAUCUCAGCGCAAACACAGCCUCAGCUCCCACCGCACUGGACAUUGUGGGAGCUCUCAGCUCUGCAGAAGUGAGGAGCAGCCCAUCCACUCCAGCAUCAGGACCACCACGGGGCAGAGAGCAUGCUCACCUCCUUCACGGGAAACUCCCCUCCAGAGCCCAGGGGCCGAGUGUGGUCCAGGGCCGAUGGGGAGCCAGCCCACCUGCCUGGCCUCUGAGCAGAGCAGUGACAGAGUCCUGGGAACAGAGGGACAGAAGAGGGGGAGCUGGACACCUGUCCGCAGAGGGAGGGAGAGACCGCAGCAGGGGAGGAGGGGAUGGAGGUGGGCCUGUCUAUGCCCACAGCAGGGUCAGUGGUGGCAGAGGUGUUGGGACGCCCUCCACUGAACGGGAGGAGCGAGGGGAGAGGAGGGGGCCCUGGGCGGAUUCCUCGACCUAAUGUCCAAAAAAGGGACCCGCCCACCUGCAGCACCCGGGCCCUAGGUGAGUGUGCUGGCAUCCAGGCAGCCACCAUGGGCACCUCUGAGAGGGAGAUGCCCCUGGAGGGUGCAGAGGUGGGAGACCUGUGCCCCCUUCACUGACUGGAGGCUGGGGGUGCCAGGCCCCCUCCCCACCACGACAGCUUGGCCCCCAGUACACUGGGAUCUGGCGGGGCACCAGGCCCCCAUCCCCCACCAGGACAGCGUGGCCCCUGAAGAUGGCCUGCUUCCCCUCCUGAGGAUCCCACCAGGGCAGGUGGUUGGGGGCAGGGUCUCCCUGAAGCCCCCUCCCCUCCCAGGAGGGGAGCCCAGGGCUCCCCACCCCCUCCCUCGGGUCACUGCUGGAACCCCUGGCACCCCUCCUCAGGCACCCCCACCCUUCCCUCCUUGCCCUGCACACCGAGGGCUGGGGGUGGGGGGACCGUCCCCGCAAGGGGGACAGGCUUGUCUUUCAAAACUUCAGAGAGGAGUAGGGGGCAGGGCGGGGCUUAGGCAGGCCCCAGAAUGGUGCCUCCUGGACUGUCGUCCUGGACGGUCCCAUCUGGCACCUUCGGGCCGGCAGAGGCCCUUCAGGCUGGGCACAGCAGGAGAGAGAGGGUGUGGGCCAUGGUGACUAAGGGUCUGUGUUGGGGCCUCAACGUGGGCCAAGGUGAUGCAGGGGGUGGGCCGUGGGGGCUGGCCCCAGGCAGAGCCCCAGGGCCUCGGGGAACAGAGGCUGCCGGGUCACAGAAGGGAAGGCGGGAGAGGGCGGGAUGGGGGUUUGGGUUCUCUAAUGAGUCUCAGACAGGGAGAGGAGGGGCUGGCUCCUGACCCCGGGGUGAGGAGGGGCCUUACCUGCUCAGGGGAACUGAGGAUGUAGGGCAGGGGUUUUCCUCGGAGGCUGUCCCCUCCGAGCCCCGUGGACUUCAGGGCGGAGGGCCCACCUGCUCCCCAGCUACCUCUGACCCUGCCUUUCCCAAACCCCAGUCUGAGCAGCCCCUCCUCCUUCCUCCAACCUCUGACCUCCAACCUGUCCCCCAUCUGAGGACCUUGGUCAGGUGCCCCACCCUCCUGGACACUUUGCCAGCCUCUCAUGGGUUCAGAGCUGACUCAGGCAAGGCCUGCCCCACGGCCUUGCCCUGUGGACGCUGGCUGCCACCCAAGGCCACACCCUGGGCCUGGCCCAGCUGACCCUGCAGCCCGGUGGACACCGGGCAGGCUCCUCCCUCACAGCCGGGGCCCCCCAGCCUGGCCGGGUCCACCCCCACCCCUGGCCUCACCCCAGCCCUCACUGGCCCUGCUGCUGUAGAGCUUCACGCCAGCAGCACCUGCUCCGGGGCAGGGCUGCGUCCCGCGGAUGCGCCCCUGACCUCAGGAGGGUCCCCAGAGCUUGGUCUCCUUCCCCUCGCCCACCUCGGGCUUUCGGUGGUGUCGCCGCAGCUGACGUCCAGCCCGGCCUCUGCUGACCACCCUGACGUCACCUCCUGACCUCCGGCCCGAGGCUCUGGGGGCGGAGCCUGGCUACCUGGGGGCGGAGCCUGGCUACCUGGGGGCNNNNNNNNNNNNNNNNNNNNNNNNNNNNNNNNNNNNNNNNNNNNNNNNNNNNNNNNNNNNNNNNNNNNNNNNNNNNNNNNNNNNNNNNNNNNNNNNNNNGCCUGGCUACCUGGGGGCGGAGCCUGGCUACCUGGGGGCGGAGCCUGGCUGCGUGUUCUGGGCAGCCGGAAGCUGAUCACAGCGGUGCUCCAACGCGCCGCGCCGUGUCCCUGCCCAGAGCCAACGUUCCUCUACAGGAGUUACUGCGGAAUGUGCGAGAGUGAGCUAAGAGAGAGGCCUUCUCAGGACGUCCUCCCCUGUCUUCUUCUCUUCACUCAGCUCUCUCUUACGGGCCACUUUGACCUCUAACCCUGGACAUCCCUGAGAUCUGCCCGUCCGCCCCGCCAGGAGCACCCAGACUGCCCCCAGGGGAUUGGUGAUGGGUCGCUUCCCCCACGCAGCUGGGGCUGGCACUCAGGGGCGGGUCCCUGCAGCCCCUUCUGCGUCGUUCCCAGGCCCCUCAGUGUGAGCGGCCAGCCCACCCAGGGUUGCUCCCCCGCCCCGCCCCACGCUGUCCCCUCACCCGCUGCAGCCACACCAUCUCGGCCCCGGGAGCGCUGAGGGGCCCCCAGCCUGCCUAGCUUUGAUGGCUCACCUCUGGGUGGUGAGCCGCCCCGCUGGCCUGACCCCCGUUCGCCUCUGCGGCCCAGCUCUGACCCCAACUCCCUUGGUAUCCUUGAACGUAGGGGCCCUGGGGGUCCUUGCCCAGCCCCUUUCCCCCACCUACAGCGACAUGUCCUGAACGGCGCCUGCAAGUAGGCGCUCCAGACAGGGCGCUGCAGAGCCGCUGUGCUGAAGGUGGUCAGCGGCCGCUCUGCGAGGCGUCCUAAGGCCAGAGCCCCACAAAUGUGUCCUUUUGCUCAGCUGUGCCUUCCCUCACAGAGGCUGCGGGAACCCAGCGGAGUCCGCACCUGUGCAGCCGUUGGCUGGCCGCUCCGGCCCAUGGUC